rnacentral:rRNA from 1 species
UCGUGCUUAACACAUGCAAGUCGAACGGUGAAGCCAAGCUUGCUUGGUGGAUCAGUGGCGAACGGGUGAGUAACACGUGAGCAACCUGCCCUGAACUCUGGGAUAAGCGCUGGAAACGGCGUCUAAUACUGGAUAUGAGCUGCGGAGGCAUCUUCGUGGUUGGAAAGAUUUUUCGGUUUGGGAUGGGCUCGCGGCCUAUCAGCUUGUUGGUGAGGUAAUGGCUCACCAAGGCGUCGACGGGUAGCCGGCCUGAGAGGGUGACCGGCCACACUGGGACUGAGACACGGCCCAGACUCCUACGGGAGGCAGCAGUGGGGAAUAUUGCACAAUGGGCGGAAGCCUGAUGCAGCAACGCCGCGUGAGGGAUGACGGCCUUCGGGUUGUAAACCUCUUUUAGCAGGGAAGAAGCGAAAGUGACGGUACCUGCAGAAAAAGCGCCGGCUAACUACGUGCCAGCAGCCGCGGUAAUACGUAGGGCGCAAGCGUUAUCCGGAAUUAUUGGGCGUAAAGAGCUCGUAGGCGGUUUGUCGCGUCUGCUGUGAAAACCCGAGGCUCAACCUCGGGCCUGCAGUGGGUACGGGCAGACUAGAGUGCGGUAGGGGAGAUUGGAAUUCCUGGUGUAGCGGUGGAAUGCGCAGAUAUCAGGAGGAACACCGAUGGCGAAGCAGAUCUCUGGGCCGUAACUGACGCUGAGGAGCGAAAGGUUGGGGAGCAAACAGGCUUAGAUACCCUGGUAGUCCACCCCGUAAACGUUGGAACUAGUUGUGGGGUCCAUUCCACGGAUUCCGUGACGCAGCUAACGCAUUAAGUUCCCCGCCUGGGGAGUACGGCCGCAAGGCUAAAACUCAAAGGAAUUGACGGGGACCCGCACAAGCGGCGGAGCAUGCGGAUUAAUUCGAUGCAACGCGAAGAACCUUACCAAGGCUUGACAUACACGAGAACGCUGCAGAAAUGUAGAACUCUUUGGACACUCGUGAACAGGUGGUGCAUGGUUGUCGUCAGCUCGUGUCGUGAGAUGUUGGGUUAAGUCCCGCAACGAGCGCAACCCUCGUUCUAUGUUGCCAGCACGUAAUGGUGGGAACUCAUGGGAUACUGCCGGGGUCAACUCGGAGGAAGGUGGGGAUGACGUCAAAUCAUCAUGCCCCUUAUGUCUUGGGCUUCACGCAUGCUACAAUGGCCGGUACAAAGGGCUGCAAUACCGCGAGGUGGAGCGAAUCCCAAAAAGCCGGUCCCAGUUCGGAUUGAGGUCUGCAACUCGACCUCAUGAAGUCGGAGUCGCUAGUAAUCGCAGAUCAGCAACGCUGCGGUGAAUACGUUCCCGGGUCUUGUACACACCGCCCGUCAAGUCAUGAAAGUCGGUAACACCUGAAGCCGGUGGCCCAACCCUUGUGGAGGGAGCCGUCGCAAGU